rnacentral:rRNA from 1 species
GUGGGGAAUUUUGGACAAUGGGCGAAAGCCUGAUCCAGCCAUGCCGCGUGCAGGAUGAAGGCCUUCGGGUUGUAAACUGCUUUUGUACGGAACGAAAAGACUCCUUCUAAUAAAGGGGGUCCAUGACGGUACCGUAAGAAUAAGCACCGGCUAACUACGUGCCAGCAGCCGCGGUAAUACGUAGGGUGCAAGCGUUAAUCGGAAUUACUGGGCGUAAAGCGUGCGCAGGCGGUUAUAUAAGACAGAUGUGAAAUCCCCGGGCUCAACCUGGGAACUGGAUUUGUGACUGUAUAGCUAGAGUACGGUAGAGGGGGAUGGAAUUCCGCGUGUAGCAGUGAAAUGCGUAGAUAUGCGGAGGAACACCGAUGGCGAAGGCAAUCCCCUGGACCUGUACUGACGCUCAUGCACGAAAGCGUGGGGAGCAAACAGGAUUAGAUACCCCAGUAGUCC